AGGGCAGAGCCUGUGUCCAGCUGGCCUGGGAUUGAAGCUGGCUCCAUCACAUGCUCAAUGUGGAGCUUUGGGCGCUUCCUAUGACCUCCCAGAGCCUCCGUUUCCUCAUCUGCAAGAUGGGACACAAUCACACCUGCUUCAUAUCAUUGUUAUGAAGAUGGAGAAUCCACGGCUCCGAGACGUGAGGUGACACGGCACCCAGGCCUUCUCACUGUGUGCCAGGCUAUGGUAACAUCCUGCUGGACUGAGCCAGAUGACACAGAAUCCGCUUAAACCGACUUGUGGAGGUCCUGAUGUUCUACAGGUGCCAUCUUUCUAUGCCCAGUGUGAUCAGGCUGUGUGAAUUUUGGGUGGGGCUCUUCGGGGACACCAGCCUUCAUUUAUUGAGCCUCUACCAUGUGCCAAACAUGUGACUCUGUGACUGGUUAAUCCCCACAAGUCAAGGAGCUGGCACGGUUGUCUCAUGUAGAGGUGGAGAAACUGAGCUGUAAGGACCAGCGCCAGGAGUGCGGGAUGUGGGUCUGUGCUGCACAGCACCGCCCCGCAGAAGGGGAGCAGGGAUGAAGAGGAGGCGUAGACUCCAUCUCGGGGAAAAAAAGAGUAAAGAGAGCGCUGUCUUGAAGAAACUACAAGUGUGGAGAGUCUGCAGACGUUGGAGGGAGAUGAAGGCGGUGCUGAUUCAGGAGACAGAGCUUUAGCCAGGAAAGCAAGCUGGCAGCCACUUGGAAACCACCAUCUCUGACACCUCCUGAGUGCCAAAGCCACAGAACACAACCAGGAAUCAAAGCCGAAGGACCCCGCUCUCGUGAUGGUGAGAGGCCCCAUCUGCUUGGGUGUAGGAAGACAUGGGGGAUGGAGGGUGGGCCCCAGACAGGCUUGGGAUGCUGAGCCAGGUGCUUAUCCUCCCUCCGGGGCUGCUGGGAGACAUCAGCAGCAGCCACCGAGGCAGAUUUGGGCGGGAGGUCUGGACUGUCACCCCGUGGGGGAUCAGGCUAGAGCUUCACAGGUCGUUGCCUGUGGGCUCUCUGCCUGGCUGGGUCAGCACGCUGUGCACUUUCCUAAUGAGGCUGGGAUCUGAUUCCAGCAUCAUUAAACCAACUGCCUCUUGGUGGGUCAGAACCUGGCAGAGCACUGGGGUUGACCUACAGUGGCCCCCAGCCUGGAGAUCAGGCCCCAAGGCAGGCUUGUCUUCCUCAGCCACACUUCCUGCUGGGGCCUCGGGAGCAGGGCUGCAGGGCUGCCAGACACAGCAGUGCAGGUCAUGACAGAAAGCAGGGGCGACAGGCAGACCCAUGCCCUGCUCCCCAGGCUCCGUGACCGGGCAUGCGGCCAGGUCCUCCAGGAAGAAGGGCACCUUUCCUCACACAGAGGCACCCCUGACUUAUGCGUGCUUCUAAUUCAUCAGCCUGCAGAGGGCGCCUUUUCCUAAUUUGCACACACACAUUGUUGGGGGGCCCCCAGACCCCCAGUUCUUCCUUCUGCCCCACUCCUCUCUCUCGGACCUGCCUCCCCUCCUUGCUCAUUCAUCUCCUGGGGUUUCCACACUGUUUCCUCCGCCCCUUCCUUCCUCCCUGUCUUCCAGCCCUCAUCCCACCCUCUCUGCCCUCUUCCUCUGUGGAUCCCUCUGGCCUGUCCCCUAGAGUCAGCCAGCUCUGGGUCCUUACCUACUGGGUCGGAGGCAGGGACAGGCAGCCCAGGAAGGGUGGGCCAGGCCCCUGCUAGCUCAGGGUGGCACUGGCACGUGCAGGGAGCCUGGGGCGUGGGGGAAGGUCCCGGCUCCUUCCAUCUGCCAAGCUCCUAAUAUAGGCAGCGGCAGAGAGGGAGCGGGGAAGCAGGAGGCAACUUGGAGCUGGAGGUGACAGGCCUGCUUCCUCCGUAUAAAUAGUCCCGUCUGUCACCCCGGGGGCGGUGGCUUCCUGGGGCACUUCUGAUGUCAUCUGCUUCCCAGGAGAGAGUUGCUGGUACCUGAGGGGGCCUGGGAUGCAGGCUGACAUUUUGGGGCGAGGGGGUACCCUGACAUGCCUGAGGGCUCAAUACUCAAUACUCCCAGGCAGUUCUAGCCUCUCCCACUUGCCUUCUUGCCGUAGGACAGGCAGAGGCCCACCCCCCUCCCCAGGCUGUGCAGACCUGGGCUUGAGCCUCUUCCAUGAGGCACCUAGGAAGGGACCCUUCCUGGGCAUCAUCCAUAAAUUGCUCGGCUGGCCCAAGGGCUGUCUGAGCUAUGUGAGGUCACCCCAAGGGACGAUAAGGAGAUGGGAGCCUCAUUCAGCUCCCCACCCUGUGAGAUGGGCCGUGAUUGGAGCAACAGAGAGGGUUCUGUUGCUCCUUGCUCGUCCCCUGCAGAAGGAGGGCACAGAGCUCUCCCUCACACCCCACCUCAGGUUCCCAGCAUCUGUCUGGUAUUCCUGAGGAUGGGUGUGCACUUGCUCCUCCUCAGCAACCUUGUCAGGAAGGUGGAGAACGCAGAGCUGCCUCCAGCUGGCACUGAGCACAGGGAAGCUCCCUGAGGACCGGGUGGCCCAGCAGACAGGACAUCCUCAAGGGCUCUGCCUCCCUCCUCAGUCUGGAGCUCCUGCAGCCACCUCCCUUUCCAUCCCUCCUCCCUCCUGCAUGGAGGGGGCCUGGCCAGCUGGUGAUGCCCCUGCGGGAAUCUGUGAGGGAAGCUGCUGGGGGUUUGCCCAGCCCCUGAUGAAUAACAGGCAGGGCGAGGUUAGACCAGGUUGCCCGGCUGCACAGCAGACUCAGGAGUGCCUUGCAGCGGGAGAAAGGCACUGGGCAUCGACCUGAGACCAGAGCCUCCAUCCCCCAGCUGCUGGUCUGAGUUAAGCUAGGAGGGCCCACGUGGUGCCCCCUUACCCCGGAGGUGGUCCUAGUGUCUGCAGAGGUGGGAAGUAGAGGGCUGCAGGACAGGCGGGGGACAGAGGCUGCACCCUGUAGACCCUUUUGAGCCAAGUGGCUUUUCAACAGGGUGGCCAUUGCAGAACAAUGGCACUGGUCCACACGCCUCUGUACUUGCAAGCUCUGUGACGGUGGGAGAGAACCAACCUCCCUCCCCUCAGGCAGAACUCAUAACAACCGUAGGACAUCAGACAACGGCCCCGGGCACCUGGCAAGGACCGGCCUGAUGACUCAGGCCCCACCUCCACUUCCAGUUUCCCUGCCGGAAGAGCCCCUCACCCAUGAGCCAGGAACAGGAAGGUGCUUCGUGGUGGAGUGGACCCCAUCAGUGCUGCCCAUGUCCCCUCCACCCUUCUUCCACUCCGUGCCCACCCGCUCGCCUUCCAGGCGCUCCGACUCACAGAGUGCGGUGUCGGGAGUCUGCACUGCCCUCCCACGCGGCAGCCCCAGCAGCUGGGAGCUGGGAGGCCCUGGGCGCGGUAACUGUGGGGCAUGUCCUGGCCGCCUCCCAGCAUUCCCAGCCGCAUUGCACUCCGCUUGCCUGCGGCAGCUGCCUUCCCUCUUGUCUCCUUCCCCACAUCCACCAAUUAAACUGGAAUCCAAUUGGAUCUGAAUUCUUGUCACAAGGCCUGCCUCUGAGGAGACCCAACUAAGAGUUGGACACAGUUGUGAGCUAGUUCCCUGCAGGACCCAGUGACUAAGAGGCUGGAGGGGAGGGGGCGGUGGCAAGGUCUGACUUCAGCCGCUCUGAUGGCUUCAGGGCCGGGGCUUUCGGCAGACACUUUGCUAUCUGGCUCUGCAGAUUCCGUUGCCAUUGCUGCUGUGACAGGAGCCAUCUCCUCUCGUGUUCCUGGUCUACGUGUCUUAUCAGCCCUUCUAAAAGGGCUGGCAGCUGGUGGGUGGUAGCAAAGUCAUGCCCCCUCCUAAGGGAAAUGGGAUCAGAAAACUGUGGAAGAUGAUUAACGUGCCUUGGGCGUUUACUGUGUUAUAUUUUGCUUCCUCUCAUUACAACCCUCUGGACAGGGCUGCCAUGUACAGUCAGGCAGGUUGUUCACUGCACAGGGGCACCCGGCCAAGAGGACAGCCUGUGUUCUUUCCACAUAGUGGGAGCCAUCCACUGUCCUGCUUGUGAGCCGUCUCAUUGUCUCCAUUUUAGUGCAGAAACCAAGGCACAGAGAGUUUAAGUAAUUUGCUCAAGAUUUCUCAGCACGUAGGAGGCUGUGCUGAGCUCUUCAUCUAAGAAUUCUGGCUGCAGAGCCUGCAUUCCCAGCUACGUAGCCUCACACUGCCUUGACAGGGCGGGGCCAUCAUGAGAGCUAGAAACCCCGGGAAGGCUCUGACUCCUGGGCACCAGUCAGGCCUGGGACACAGGGACUCCGGAGAACCAGGGGAAGAGGGUCACCUCUGGUG